CAAUAGCGUAUAUUAAAGUUGUUGCAGUUAAAAAGCUCGUAGUUGGAUUUCUGGUAGGAGCGACCGUGCCGAACUUGAUUGUUCGUGUAUUGUGUUGUCUUCGGCCAUCCUCGUGGAGAACUUUUCGGGCAUUAAUUUGUCGGGAUUGGGACCCGCGUCGUUUACUGUGAAAAAAUUAGAGUGUUUAAAGCAGGCAAUCGCUUGAAUACAUUAGCAUGGAAUAAUAAGAUAGGACUUUGGUACUAUUUUGUUGGUUUGCAUACCAAAUUAAUGAUCAACAGGAACAGUUUGAGGAUAUUCGUAUGAACAUGUCAGAGGUGAAAUUCUUGGAUUUUGAUCAGACGAACUACUGCGAAAGCAUUUAUCAAGGAUGUUUUCAUUAA
rnacentral:rRNA from 1 species